AGUGGAAUUGCUAGGUCAUAUGGUAACCCAAUAUUAACUUUCUGAGGAACUGUGGAGUUAUUUCUAAAGCUGUGCAAUCUUUUCCAUUCCCACCAGCAAU
rnacentral:pre_miRNA from 1 species